CUCGGCAAAAAGGAAAAUCCAAACCCUAAUUUCAUUUCCUCAAAAAACCUAUACCCCCACCGCCUCUCUCUCCUCUCUCUCUCACUAUCUUUUCACCUCAGGCCGAAAAUUCGACCAAUAUCUUCAUCGGCGAUGCCGAAAUCACUCAUCCAAACCUCUUCAUCAGCCACCACGUCAUCACUUUCCGUCGCCUUAACGAAAUCAUUCAUCCAAAGCUCUUCGACGCCGAAAUCCGACUCCGAUUAAGUGGCUACAGCUUCCUCGCUCUCGCAAUCCCUAACCAAAUGCUGAAGUUCGUUGAUCCCGAGUCUCUGCCGCCGUUGACAGUGCUUCCGACGCUUGAAUCCGGCGAAAAUCUCACCAUCACAACUCCAGACGGUUGCUCGCGGCUUCACUCUCUCGCUCUCACAGUCGCUCCACCAAAGCAAGUCACUCGUUAGUGACAUUACGUCGUCGUUGUCACGCUGGUCAACCGCCUACUCUUCCUAUCAUUCCAUUCAAGGUCUUUCCCUCGAUUUGUACAUAUUCUUCAGAAGACAUUGAUGAAAUGCGAGAUUUGUGGAUUAAAUAUGUUCUUGAUUGAAGAAGAUUCAUGAUAAAUGAGCUUAAUGAUGAAUGAGCUGAGCUUGAGUACGAGAUUAGCUUAGUGUUAAUCAUUAUACUUGUGAAUUUAGCUCCACUUUUGAACUUUUUUUUUUAGGAAAAGCUCUACUUCUGAGUUUUGUUUUUGAAUAUUAGAAUUAAUGUAAAUUUUGAGUUAAAAUCUGUUGGAGAAAAUUAGUUUUUGUAUUAAAGCUUUUAUAUUUAUA